rnacentral:rRNA from 1 species
GAUCCUGGCUCAGGAUGAACGCUAGCUACAGGCUUAACACAUGCAAGUCGAGGGGCAUCGGGAAGAAAGCUUGCUUUCUUUGCUGGCGACCGGCGCACGGGUGAGUAACACGUAUCCAACCUGCCCUUUACUCGGGGAUAGCCUUUCGAAAGAAAGAUUAAUACCCGAUAGCAUAAUGAUUCCGCAUGGUUUCAUUAUUAAAGGAUUCCGGUAAAGGAUGGGGAUGCGUUCCAUUAGGUUGUUGGUGAGGUAACGGCU